UUUGGAGUUUCAGAUUUUAUCAGUAAACUGAACAUGCAAGCCCAACUCUGUACUGUUGCAGGGAUUUCUUGGUAGUUCUAUGUUGAAUUUUGGAGUUCCGAUCUGCUUACUUGUAAACUAGAGAGCUCAUGUUAUGCGAUUUUGGGUGCAAAGCAACAUGGUACAAUGAAGUUCAUGCUUCUUUGUUUCACCUAAGUGUAAUUAAAAUGGCUCAUGAACUAUGGAUAUCCG